AAAAAAUCUAAGGUCUGUACUUUUCUCCUCUGAGCUGGCCUCCUGUAAACUUCAGAAAAAUUAUUUGCACCAUGAUUGGGUGAACCUUUGUAAACUAUACUUGUGAAUAAUGGUUCAAUAAUUGUUGCGACAUUA
rnacentral:snoRNA from 1 species